GUGCUUGCUUCGGCAGCACAUGUACUAAAAUGGGAAUGAUACAGAGAAGAUUAGCAUGGCCCCUGCACAAGGAUGACAUGCAGAUUCAUGAAGCCUUCCAUAUUAAG
ensembl:snRNA U6 U6 spliceosomal RNA